CCUACGGGAGGCAGCAGUGGGGAAUAUUGCACAAUGGGGGAAACCCUGAUGCAGCAACGCCGCGUGAAGGAAGAAGGUCUUCGGAUUGUAAACUUCUGUCCUCAGGGAAGAUAAUGACGGUACCUGAGGAGGAAGCUCCGGCUAACUACGUGCCAGCAGCCGCGGUAAU
rnacentral:rRNA from 1 species